GCUCGCUCACCGCCCAGCCGCACUGCCCGCGCUCACUCUCUCCCACUCGCCCAGCUGCACUAGCCGGCCUCCCCGUCGCUCGCCCACCUCCCCCCUCUCCCCGUAGCUCGCCGGCCUCCUCGUUGCUCGCCGGCCUCCCCGUCUCCCCGUAGCUCACUGGCCUCUCCCUCUUCCACCGCCACUUCUCCACCACCCCGCCUCCACUCACAUCCUGGAGGUAAACAAAUUCCAAUCUUUUGCGCCAGCGACGAGCUUCUACUCCACGGAGGCGUGGAUGUGGAUGUGCUAGCGCUGGAUCUGGGCGACAGAGGCGUGGAUGUGGAGCGGCACCCGAGCGGCGGGUCUGGAGCGACGUCGUCGUCCUCGCGGUGCCCUGCCCCGCCAUGCCACGUCGUCGUCGUCGCGGAGUAGCUGCUUCCUCCCGCUUGAAAAUGGAGAACGAGAGGGAGGGGCAGAUGAUGGCCGCCAUCAUGGAUUUGAAUCUUCUCUUCUUACGUUGCUGUAGUACUGGCUGCAGUCUUGCUGUACAAUCACUUGAGGAAUUCAAGGCCUGAUGAGUCCUUCUGGGAGCCAUGGCUACUUCUUCCCAGGCCCUGCGUCAGGAGAAGGAGCACGCCCAGGAGAAGAAGGAUCGGGAGAAGGCCCUGAGGACCUGGGAUCGCUGCUGCUAGAUCUGGAUCUGGGACCUGGGACUGCUGCUGCCGCGUGCUCCUUCUGGGAGACGAGGAC